CUCACUGGAAAAGAGGCAUCAGGAGAUAAAACUAGUGCGGAGAGAACUGAGUUUGUCUCCCCAGUGUUCCACUGAAUUGGGUUGUUUCCCCAUUCAUUCAUUUGUUCCACACAGUUCCCCAAGCGCUUCUCGGAUUCCCGGUCCUGUGCGGGGCUGUGCUGGAGACCCUCGGGGCGUCCAGAGCAUGACUCAGUUUAUCAGCCUGGCCAUGAAAUUGCCAGCCUCAAACCUACAACUCCCGCCUGUCCCGCAAGGGGGCACCGGAGCCCCGCAAGAGGACUGGAAAGUCGAGCGGCAGAGACUGGAACCCCAACUGUCAGAGACAGGACUUCGAAAAGGCAGCUGCAGGCCAUCCCCGCACAUCCUUUUCUCCGCCCCGAAAGUGGGGCAAACACCCCGCCGCACUGACUAAUAUCACCGAGUCAGUUUGUAUGCGUUAAAGGCAGGGGAAAAGUUGCCCUCGGUUCUAGGUUACUCUCGUUUGCUUGCUUGCAGAAACAGGGUCUCCAUAUGUACUUUUCGCUGGUCUUGAACCCGCUGUGUACCCCAGGCUGGUCUCAAAUUCGCAGCGAUCUUCCUGCUUCAGCCUGUUGAGUGCUAUGAUUCUAGGUGUGCGCUACCACACCCAGCUACUCCCAAACUUAUUUCCACCCUGAAUUCCAGCACGGAGCUUUGGAUCCCCAGAUCCGAGUCAUCGCGGCUUCCAGAACUUGCGAGCUCGGACCUCCUCUCCAUCCACAUUCUCCCGUGCGCCCUGGGCCCGGAGUUCACAGUCCCCUCCGCAACUCGGACCUCUGCCUGCAGCUCUCCCGGACCUGCUCCUGCCCCAACGUCGGGUCCCCUCUGGGCCCGGAUUGGCGAUCUCGGGGUUCCCCGGCUGAGUCCGAGCGCGGGGCUUGGGGAUGAGGAGGGAGCGAGGAGCAGAGGCGCGGUGAUCGGGCCGAGCCCCCUUCCCUCUAAACUUAGCCGCGUGACGCGCGGCCCCGCAAUGGCUGCGGGCCGGGGACGCUGGGGGCCGGGGCGGUGGGGCGGCUCGCCGGUCUUUAUUUAUAGCGCCUGGAGCCCGAAAUAGCGCGGAGCUGGGCGGCCGGGAUGACGCGGGCGCAGCCGGGGCUGACUCACCCGGCCCGGGCCCGGGCCCGGGCCCCCGGAUGCGGACAGUGGGGGCACCUGGGCGCGACCCCGCGACCCUCGGCACCUGCGCUGCGGGGGCCCCAGGCUCCACUGUUCAGGCCGGGUGGCUCUCAGUAAAGAGUCUGCAGCAGGAGACAGGCUGGAUCCGAGGUGGCCGGCCACCCACAGCACGACGAACGACGGGACGAGCAGCUUGAAGGUGGGGUGGAAGGAAAGGAGCCAGAAGUGCAAGCCUGUUGUCACCCUCGGCUGCGACGCUGACCCCGACCCCGCACCGUGGCUUUGCAGAGCUGCAGGCCAGGCCUGCACGCGCUCCCCCUCCCUGCUUUCCCAGCCAUGGAGGAUGCAGGCACUGUGGGGACCUGGUGCUGAAGGCGCCCCUGACCCAUGAAACUCUGCUGCCUCACCACCCAGGAGCACCUCAAGCUGACAGGGCCUAGAGGGUGGUGUUGCGUGCGACAUCCCUGGGGAGCAAUGCAUUGCGUGCACAGUGGUGGUAAGAAAAUAAAAUGUCGUUUCCUGAA